GAUGCAUCAGUGUGAAUUUCUCUUUGAGUUUCAACCCUUGACACCAUUGAGUAUGCAUUGUUUAUACUAGAUAAUGGAUCUAUCAAAAGAACUUGAUUCCUGACAUGAUCAUAAGUUUCAUUUAAUCCCAUUAAAAACUGCAUGAGUUUAUCUUCAUUAUGCAUGUCAUCCAUUGAUUUUGAUGCUCCACACUUACACACUGGUAAAGGUUUAUAACAUGCUAAUUCAUCCCAUAAUUUUUUAAGUUUAGUAAAAUACACUACAGCUAAUGCAUUGCCCUGAGUUAGAAUACUUAU
rnacentral:misc_RNA from 1 species